CGCGUGGGCUCUACACACGUGCUACUUGGCGGUGACUUGGGUUGCCCCCCCGCGAGGGGAAGCUAUUCCCUUGAACCCUUCUCAUUUCGGAUUGGUCUCUGCAAUUCCAAAUCAUGAAGGCGGAAUCGCUAGUAAUCGCGGAUCACCAUGCCCCGGUGAAUACGUUCCCGGGCCUUGGACCCACCGCCCGUCCCCCCAUGGGAUUUGGUUUCCCCCGAAAGCGUUGCGCUUACCCGCAAGAAAGGCGCUAACCCCGGGUGGGUUUAGACACUGGGGUAAAUUCAAAACAGGGUACCCAU
rnacentral:rRNA from 1 species